AACCUUUCAAUUUUCUUCUUUCUUUUUGUUUUAACUUCUUACUUUCAUCUCUCAUUUUUCUGUUUUUGAAGUGUAAUGCAUGCAUAUGUUAUCCACUCUUUCUUUCUUAUGUUGCUUGAUUUAAAGAUCUAUUUGUGUGUGAUCUGUGUUUCAUCUUCUUUCUUCUUUUUCUUCUGAUAAUCUCACCUACAAAGAAACAAC
rnacentral:lncRNA from 1 species